GACGAACGCUGGCGGCGUGCCUAAUACAUGCAAGUAGAACGCUGAAGAGAGGAGCUUGCUCUUCUUGGAUGAGUUGCGAACGGGUGAGUAACGCGUAGGUAACCUGCCUGGUAGCGGGGGAUAACUAUUGGAAACGAUAGCUAAUACCGCAUGAAAUUGCUUAUCGCAUGAUAAUUAAUUGAAAGAUGCAAUUGCAUCACUACCAGAUGGACCUGCGUUGUAUUAGCUAGUUGGUGAGGUAACGGCUCACCAAGGCGACGAUACAUAGCCGACCUGAGAGGGUGAUCGGCCACACUGGGACUGAGACACGGCCCAGACUCCUACGGGAGGCAGCAGUAGGGAAUCUUCGGCAAUGGGGGGAACCCUGACCGAGCAACGCCGCGUGAGUGAAGAAGGUUUUCGGAUCGUAAAGCUCUGUUGUAAGAGAAGAACGGGUGUGAGAGUGGAAAGUUCACACUGUGACGGUAUCUUACCAGAAAGGGACGGCUAACUACGUGCCAGCAGCCGCGGUAAUACGUAGGUCCCGAGCGUUGUCCGGAUUUAUUGGGCGUAAAGCGAGCGCAGGCGGUUAGAUAAGUCUGAAGUUAAAGGCUGUGGCUUAACCAUAGUAUGCUUUGGAAACUGUUUAACUUGAGUGCAGAAGGGGAGAGUGGAAUUCCAUGUGUAGCGGUGAAAUGCGUAGAUAUAUGGAGGAACACCGGUGGCGAAAGCGGCUCUCUGGUCUGUAACUGACGCUGAGGCUCGAAAGCGUGGGGAGCAAACAGG
rnacentral:rRNA from 1 species